AGGAACGAGGGGUUCUUCAUGAUCUUCUGCUUGAUGAGCCUCUCUGCUCUCGCUGGUGCCUGGUGCGGGAUCUCGCUGCUCAUGUGGCGGCUGCAUGGAAAGAAUGCGCCACAGGGGCAGCCUGCAGCUGACCUGAGUUCACUGUGGUAAGAGCCCUCUCCUCUCCCCAGCCCUGCAGCGUGUUUGGUGGGGAUAGCACGG